rnacentral:rRNA from 1 species
ACGGGAGGCAGCAGUGAGGAAUAUUGGUCAAUGGCCGCAGGGCUGAACCAGCCAAGUCGCGUGAGGGAUGACGGUCCUAUGGAUUGUAAACCUCUUUUGUCAGGGAGCAAAGGGCGCCACGUGUGGCGCUUUGCGAGUACCUGAAGAAAAAGCAUCGGCUAACUCCGUGCCAGCAGCCGCGGUAAUACGGAGGAUGCGAGCGUUAUCCGGAUUUAUUGGGUUUAAAGGGUGCGCAGGCGGAAUGUCAAGUCAGCGGUAAAAUUUCGGGGCUCAACCCCGUCGUGCCGUUGAAACUGGCGUUCUUGAGUGAGCGAGAAGUAUGCGGAAUGCGUGGUGUAGCGGUGAAAUGCAUAGAUAUCACGCAGAACUCCGAUUGCGAAGGCAGCAUACCGGCGCUCAACUGACGCUCAUGCACGAAAGCGUGGGUAUCGAACAGGAUUAGAUACCCUGGUAGUCCACGCAGUAAACGAUGAAUACUAACUGUCCGGGCAGAAUGAUGCCUGG